CCCAGCUAAUUUUUGUAUAUUAGUAGAGAUGGGGUUUCACCAUGUUGGCCAGGCUGGUCUCGAACUCCUGACCUCAAGUGAUCCGCUCACCUUGGCCUCCCAAAGUGCUAGGAUUACAUGUGUGGGCCACCACGCCCAGCCCGAUUUACCCUUUAUACUGGAAUUGGCAGUAGAUGGGGCUGGUGGCUCACAUCUGUAAUCUCAUCACUUGGGGAGGCCAAGGCAGGAAGAUAGCUUGAGGCCAGGAGUGAAACCACUUUUGCAAGAUUAUAACAUUGAGAGGAGGCCAGGCGUGGUGGCUCAUGCCUGUAAUCCCAGCACUUUGGGAGGCCGAUGUGGGCGGAUCACAAGGUCAGGAGAUUGAGACCAUCCUGGCUAACAUAGUGAAACCCCGUCUUUACUAAAACUAUAAAAAAAAUUAGCCGGGCGUGGUGGCGGGUGCCUGCAGUCCCAGCUACUUGGGAGGCUAAGGCAGGAGAAUGGCGUGAACCCAGGAGGUGGAGCUUCCAGUGAGAUGACAUUGCGCCACUACACUCCAGCUUGGGUGACAGAGUGAGACUCCAGCUCAAAAAAAAAAAAAAAAAAAAAAAAAAAAAGAAAAUGAGAGGAAUCUAACAUAACUGACUCCAUCUUGCUUCUAAUCUCACAAGCUAACCUGCCUUUGCUCAGGUGGCAUAGGCCAAGCUAACUAUGGGAGGAAUUUAGUUCAUAGUUUAGAGUAAGGAUGGGCCAGGCAUGGUGGCUCACACCUCUAAUACCUUUAGGAGACCGAGGCAGGUGAAUCACCUGAGGUCAGGAGUUCGAGACCAGCCUGGCCAAUAUGACGAAACCCUGUCUCUACUAAAAAAUAAAAAUAAAAAUUAGCUGGCGUGGUGGCGGGCACCUGUAAUCCCAGCUACUCAGGAGGCUGAGGCAGGAGCAUCACUUGAACCUGAGAUGCAAAGGUUGCAGUGAGCCAUUAUUGUGCCAUUGUACUCCAGCCUGGGUGACAAGAGUGAAACUCCAUCUCGAAACAAAAAUAAAUGAAUACAAAUAAAAAGUAAAGUAAGGAUGAUAAUAGUCUCUUCCCAAAACUACUCCACUCCUUGAGACCAAAGCCGCCUUUAUAAAACUAAUGAAAGGCCACAAGGUUAGCAUUAUGGUAGGGGCUUGAUUUUUUUUUUUUUUUUUUUUUUUUUGAGAUGGAGUCUUGCUCUGUGACCCCGGCUGGAGUGCAAUGGCGCCAUCUCAGCUCACUGCAACCUCUGCCUCCAGGGUUCAAGCGAUUCUCCUGCCUCAGCCUCCAGAGUAGCUGGGAUUACAGGCGCCUGCCACCGCGCCCGGCUUUUUUUUUUUUUUUUUGUAUUUUUAGUAGAGACGGGAUUUCACCAUGUUGGCCAGUCUCAAACUCCUGAGCUCAGGUGAUCUGCCUGGCUCGGCCUCCCAAAGUGCUGGGAUUACAAGCGUGAGAGGCACGGCGCCUGCCCAAGGGCUUGACUUCCGCUCAUGAGCCAGGAUAGGUAGUCAAGGAAGUGACCAUAUCCUUGGGAUGCAGCCACCGUGGCCCGUACAGUCAACACAGUAAGCUUUUACAUUUGCGCUGUGGUCCAGCUCAUCCAAGCAAAGCUAGCUCCAGGAGAGAAAUCUCCCCUCCCCAGCUAGAGAGCAGGCAUAUUUGAUUUUCCCUGUCCUCAGACUGACCUUUUGCUCAUUAUAACAGAAAACACACACCUGGUGGAGAUUUCAGAUGCUAAUGACAUAUACGACAUACAAGCAAGCAAGUGCAGCUACUGCGCGUGUGCACCCAGAGGACCCCCCCAGAACAUGCUUCCUAGCAACGCCUCUGCCCACCCGCUGUGAGGAAUCAUGGAAGACUCCCACGGAGGAGCCUCCCUGGUGCCAGUCUCUGCUGUCUCGCCCUUACGAGCAGCCGGCCAUGAAUCCUCUCUCUCAGGGCGUCCUAUCUCUUCUGCAUCGAACUUUCAAAAUAUUCUUUCUCCUUUGCAAUACAUUGCUCUGUGCUGCAUCUGCUUGGCUGUGUGUCUCUUAUUUAAAUUCUUUUAAACUAAGAAGACAAGAAUGGAGGCCUCACAGCAGCCGCCAACGUUUCUGGUGCUGUGACUCGGAUGGAGGUUUGUCUGCGUCAUUCACUCCAGUUUCCCUUCCCCGCAGCGGGUACCAUGGCAGUGCCAGGCUCCCUGGUUGGCUGCCGCUGGUUUUCCCAGGGCUGUUUCAGUCAAGCUCCGGGGAAGGUUUCUAAGUUGCCUGGACCGUUUCUGUGAAUAUCUGUGCUGCUCUCCUCUGGCUGCUGCCUCUGCACCACUCAUCAUUAUCCAGCCACGUCGGUUGCUCUCAACAUUCAGUAUUCGGGCUGUUUUGCUGCUUCGUUUCACACCUUUCUGGCCUCGUUUCAGACGCAGCUCGUUUGCUGUCCCUCUGGUAACACUCGGCCGCCACCUUGUGGCCAUUGUGAUUUAUUGUCUGAUCGGGUUUCCUGUUUUACAAAAUUUUCUUGUUUUUUCUUUUCUUUUUUUUUUGAGACGGAGUCUCUUUUGCCCAGGCUGGAGUGCAAUGACACCACCUCUGCUCACCGCAACCUCCGCCUCCUGGUUCAAGUGAUUCUCCUGCCUCAGCCUCCCGGGUUGCCGGGACUACAGGGGUCUGCCACCACAGCUGGCUAAUUUUUUGUACUUUUAGUAGAGAUGGGGGUUUCACCAUGUUGGCCAGGCUGGUCUCGAACUGCUGACCUCAAGUGAUCCAUCCACCUUGGCCUCCCAAAGUGUUGGGAUUACAGGUGUGAGCCACCGUGCCUGGCCAAAAUCUGUUUUGAGGGACACAUUAAAAAUGCCCUGUCCCUUCAGACCUUAUGCAUUUUCCAACUCCUUCAGAUGGUCCUUCAACUGGCGUUCUUUGCUGAACAAAAGAUGCUCAGUCAUGUAGAUGCCAGGCUGUGGGGACUGCAUCGGGCAUUCCAGGCAUUGUAAUCGGGCGUCACCAAUGGCCAACCAGUGAGGCAGGGAAAGGCUUGCUGGCGAGACGUUGGGCCCCCCAGCCAGCGGGGGGGCCACCUCAGUCAGGCCUGGAGACUUCCAGCGCCCAUGAGACCCAGGACGGUGCAUGCCAAAUGCCCGUGACCUCCUAGGACCCUGGUUUCAUGGGGUUCAAGGGGCUGUCCCAGACCCUGUCAUGGUCCAGCUUGGCUCGGGGACACCUGUGACCUCCUGGACUUUGGUAUCUGUUUUUGUCAUUGCAGGAUUCUCUCGGCACCAUGGGAACCACCUCCUCUACUCUCGCUGAACACCCCUGGGAUGUAUCUGUAAAAACUGGAACACCUUUCGGCUAGGUACAAUAGGGACUCACCUGGCUGGAGCAGCUCGCACUGGGACUUCACACCAUCCAGGGCCAGAGAAACCGCUCCCCUUAUGGGAGAUCCCAAAUGGAGAGGGGACCAUUAUGGCACAUGUCCCAUAAAUGAUCUGAUUUAUGGACUCACAUCAAUAAAUGAUCUAAUCCAAUGGAAGCAAAAACACAAAAACUCACCUUCUGUAGCAGAGAAAUGGAGAGUAACCCUAGGAGUCCUCCCGAAACUGGGAGAAACACCCUGUCUGGUUGUGGGAGAAACGUCUCGUCUGGUUGGCUCCUUUCCAAAGCAGCUGGACUCUGCACCCCGCAGGUGGCCUGGCUGCCUUAGGGCAGUCGCAGCCAUCACCAUUCUAGUAGAAGAAGCCCAAAACCUGACUUUUUUUUUUUUUUUGAGACGGACUCUUCCUGUGUCGCCAGGCUGGAGUACAGUGGUAUGAUCUUGGCUCACUGCAACCUUCGCCUCCCAGGUUCAAGCGAUUCUCCUGCCUCAGCCUCCCGAGUAGCUGGAAUUACAGGCGUGCACCACCACGUCUGGCUAAUUUUUGUAUUUUUAGUAGACGCGGGGUUUCACCAUGUUGGCCAAGCUGGUCACAAACUCCUGACCUCAAGUGACCCACCCAUCUCAGCCUCCUAAAGUGCUGGGAUUACAGGAGUGAGCCACCUUGCCCGGCCCCAAAACCUGACUCUCAGACACACCUUCGAGGUCCUCACUCCCCACCAGGUGCAGGGAGUUUUAGAAAUAAAGGGCCAUGUUGGCUCUUGGGAGGAAGACUCGCCAUGAUCAGGCGCCCUCCUGGACUCCCUCAAGGUUACUAUAAAAACCUGUGGUACCCUUGAUCCAGCUUCUCUCAUGCCAGCCUGUUCCUGGGAGAACCUAACUCGUUCCAGGGUUGAAACAUGGGCCAGGCCUUUUGCAGUAGAAUAGACCUCAGGGGUGCACCCUCUAGAAUCCUGGUGCUGAAUGGCUCACUGAUGGAAGUAGUUGCAUGGAAAAUAAAAAAAGAGGGGCAGGACAUGCUGUGGUUAGUCUACACCAAACAGCAGAUGCCCACACUGCCACCUAAUACCUCGGCGCAAAAAGCAGAUCGAGUCCCCUGACCGGGGCCCGGCUCAGGGUCAGGGAAAGGCGCUUCACAGGUGCGCCGACUCCAAGGGCGCCUUCCUUGUCCCUCGUGCGCACAGAACUAUUUGGAAAGAACGGGUCUUCUAAAUGCAAGGAAAUCCCCCGUUACAUCUGCAAAAGAAAUACUGCAGCUUUUAGAGACUGUGCAGGAGCCUGAGCAAGCGGCAGUCCUUCACUGCCUGGGACAUCAAAGAGGAAACUCCUCAGUGACAUUGGGAAAUGCAAGGGCGGACAGGAAAGCUAAGAGGGAACUCCAGGAGCAGUGGCUCAGCUGGCCUUGUUCCCCUGUGCCCAUUCUCUUGAUGUAAAUCCAUCUUAACUACAAAAGAACUAGCAGCUGAGCGUGGUGGCUCACGCCUGUAAUCCCAGCACUUUAGGAGGCCAAGGUGAGCGGAUCACCUGAGGUCAGGAGUUCGAGACCAGCCUGGCCAACAUGGUGAAACCCCGUCUCUACUAAAAAUACAAAAAUUAGCCAGGCGUGAUGGCACAUGCCUGUAAUCCCAGCUACUUGGGAGGCUGAGGCAGGAGAGUCACUUGAACUGGGGAGGCAGAGGUUGCAGCGACCCAAGAUCACACCACUGCACUCCAGCCUGGGUGACAGAGCGAGACUCUGACUCAAAAAAAAUAAUAAUUAAAACAUCAAAACAAGCAUAAGCUAAAGAAAGUCAGGGGACUCUUAACACCUGAGGGUUAGUGGCUCACAGGUCAAAAGCUCUUGCUUCCUCAGCCCAACCAGUAGAAAAUGGUUAAAAGUUUACAUGAUUCCCAGCUGGGUGCAGUGGCUCACACCUGUAAUCCCAGCACUUUGGGAGGCCGAAGCACGUGGAUCACUUGAGGUCAGGAGUUCAAGACCAGCCUGGCCUACAUGGAGAAACCCCGUCUCUACUAAAAAUACAAAAAUUAGCCGGGCACGGUGGCACCCACCUGUAACUCCAGCUACUCGGGAGGCUGAGGCAGGAGAAUCACCUGAACCCGGGAGGCAGAGGUUGCAGUGAGCCGAGAUCGUGCCACUGCACUCCAGCCUGGGUGACAGAGUGAGACUCUGUCUCAAAAAAUAAAUAAAAAAAUAAAUUUA